AGCUGGUUGAUGUGAAACGAGGGAGUGGACGCGGCUGUUGGACUGCUUUAUUACGACGCAAAGGCAGAGGUUUCGUCUUUCGUGAAAGCGUUUCUGGGUGCGGUCCUUACUGGAACAAGUGGCGGCUGGCGUUAAUAAGCCCUCAUUCGUUACGGCGUCUCUUGCUGACCUCCUAUGAAGCCAGUACUGGUGGCAUUGCAUU